rnacentral:lncRNA from 1 species
AGAUGCUCCAGGGGUUGAAUCAGAGCUGCAGCUUCUGGCCUACAAAAUAGCCACGGCGACACCGGGUCUAAGCCACAUCUGUGACCUACACCACAGCUUGUGGCAACACCAGAUCCUUAACCCACUGAGUAAGGCCAGGGAUAGAACCCACAUCUUUACAGAGAUACAUUCAGGUCCUUAAUCCACUGAGCCACAAUGGGAACUCCACUCAGAUCGUAUUUUAAAAAAGUAAAUCAAUUUGGCAAAAGCAGAGGGAGGGUUUAGAGGGUUAAAGUAUGAAAUAAGUUUUAAAGGGUAGCUGUUAAAGGGUAGCUGAGUUUUAAGAGACUUCUAUCUGCCUGGACAAAGGCUUUGUAGUUUAUCCUGUAGGCUCUGAGAACUUAACAAUGCUGGUGAGGGUAAGUGACCAGCAGAGUGAUAUGAAUUAGAGGACAUCCAAUAUUUGAAAAUCAAAAAGAAAAUACUUUGGAAAACUGAGAUGUAUGUAUCUUUCAGUUAGCCAUAUAUUCAAUCAAUGAAUACUUCCUCUAUGCCAGGCACUCUGCUAGGUAAUGAAAAUACAACGAAGAGCAGAAACACAAUAUAUAAAGCAGUUUAAAUUCAAAUGAGGAAACAUCACUAAUCAAAUAGUCACACAACCAUAUUUAUAACUUAAAAGUGUGACAACUUCUGUGGAAAAGGGCAUGGUGUUUCAUGAGCAUGAUUUGGAUUACAGAGAUGCUCUGGCUGAAUAAGUAGGAAUGUGGGAUUUGAGAGAGCUUUGUGAACAAGAGAAGGAACAUGUGCAGUUGUCCUUAUGUGCUAGGGCGCAGAGUACAUUUGGGAAUUUGAAAGAAUGCUAUUAGAGCAGAGAAGUGGGGAAGAAAAGCCAUAACUAGAGAGGGAGGCAGGAUCUGGAUUAAGCAGCGCUGUUUAGGACAUUUUAAUGGCCUUAUAUUAAAAGCAAUGGUAAUGAGUCAUUGAAGGAUGUCAAUAGAAGCUAGACAUGGACCAAUUCAAUUAGGCUGGUAUAAGGAAGGGCAUCUUGGAUGUCUGAGGCCGGUGGAGGCUAAAAUAAGUAAUCCAUCCUGGCAAAAAUAUUGAAUUUGGGGUUAUGAUAACUUGGUAGAUAGGAGAAACGGUGCAGAUGUAAGGGAUAUUUUAGAAUACAAUUUAGCCAUACUGGCUAUUAGAAGUGAGAGAAAAAAAAGAUUCCAACUAUGACAACUAGAUUUUAGACAGACUAAUUAGAUGAAUGAUAGGAUCAUUCCUUAUAACAUACAAUAUAUACUCACUUUAAUAAGUAUAUAUCUCAAUGAUAUAUAAUCCUUUAUAUCUUCAUGUCUAUAUACAGUAAUAUAUAUUAAAGAUUUAAAUAUAAAUAAUAUAUUUAUUGACAAUGACACAAAUAUAAAUAGAGUUAAUAUACUUUCAAAAAUUAAAAGUGCCAAUAGAGUCAAAGAUUAUGGGUUCUGGGUUUUGUAGUACAUAUAAUAUAAGCAUAAUUUUAGUACAGUCCUUUUUUUCACAUAUUUUUUGUUGACCUAUUAUCCUACAGUAAAUGAAUAUUAAAAGGUCUAAAAACCAAAGGCUAUCUAUAACAAAAGGCCAAAGAUUUUGCUCCUUUAAAAAUAUUUCUAUUCGUGCAUUAUUUCACAAAGUGAACUGUUUAAUUGAAGCUUCACAAUGUUUUUAUGUAUAUGAUAGGGCAAUUCUUUUUUGAUUAGCCAUCCAUCUCAGUACUUUGUUAUCUUAAGCUGGUUCAUUAUUUGAUUCACUUUUAACAUUUUAGAAUCAUAUUGUUAAGUGCUAUAAAAUUCCCUAUUGGAUUUUGAUUCAAAUCAAAUUAAAACUGUGAUACAAAUCCACUAUAUUUACACUUCAAUAUUCCAGUUUAUAAGCUCCCUUUGAUACUCCAAAUACUAAAAUUACAAAAUGCAAUAUUAAGUCAUAUCUAGUAUUUAACUAAUAUAGUAGGUAGCUGCUUCGUUUAUUUGUCUAAGUAUCUGAUGUUGGUCAUAGCAAAACUGAUUCUACUCUCACCAAUACCAAGGUUCGAAACAACAAAGCUAAGUGCUUACAGAAUAUUGCUUAUGUAAAAAUUAUUAAUUUUAAAAGUUCAGUGGGUUAAGGAUCUAGUGCUGCUGCAAGCUGCUGUGCAAGUCUCAGAGGUGGCUCAUAUCCUGCAUUGCUGUGGCUGUGGUGUAGGCCGGGGGCUGCAGCUCAGAUUUGACCCCUAGCCUGGGAACUUCCAAAUGCCACAGGUGCAGCCAUAAAAAGAAAAAGUUAAGCAAUAUCUAAGUUACAUACUUAAAUUUGAAGGUGCACUAUGCAUGCAAGGAAAAAUACUGUGCUUAAAGAACCUCUGUUCUGCUUUGCUGUCUGCAACUUCCUUAUUUUUAUUACCUUUGUACCACAGCCAAAAUUAUCUAAAUGUAGUGGAGGUUGAGAAGCAAGGGCACAUAGACAUAGAAUUACAGUCAACGAUAAUGGAUUAGUACUCAGCUGAGGCUAAGUAUAUCUUUUGACAGGCUGCAAACCAUUUACAAAAUUAUUAAAGUAAUAAAAUGCAACUUAAGUCCAAACAUGAUAUAGCAUUUUCAAGGAUGAAUUUUAUUUUUGCAAGGAAAAAACCCCAACUCUCCACUUAGAAUAACAUUUGACUAUUAAGUAGCCUUAAACUACUGUUACGUCCUUAAUGAACACGGUGCAAUAGCAUUUGGAAAUCUAAGUAACCCUUACUUUUCCAUCUUUCAUAGUGUAGCAGCAGUGUAUUACAUAAUAUACAAGAAAAACUACUCCAAAUAAUAAAUUAAUCAAUAUAACUCAAACAUUUAAAAGAAUAAAAUCCUUAUAUCAAUUAAGAGUGUAAAAUAAAAGUCAGGUAAUUUGAAAUAUCACAUUCGUCUUUGGAAAACAUACAAUUAUUGAAUAAUUGAUUUAUCAUCAUUCGCCCCUUUAGAAUUAAAAUUAUAUUUAUCAGGGAGUUCCCACUGUGGCGCAGCAGAAACAGAUCUAACCAAUAUCCAUGAGGAUGUGGGUUCAGAUCCUGCAUUGCUGCAGCUGUGCUGUAGGCUGGUAGCUAUAGCUCUGAUUCAACCCCUAGCCUGGGAACUUCCAUAUGCUGCAGGUGCAGCCCUAAAAAAUGAAAAAACAAAACAAAACGAAAAGCAAAAAAAAAAAUAUGUUUAUCAUAUAUUUUGGUACAUUACCUCAUUUGCUUUAGUCCUCACAAUCCUGAUUAUGAAAAAAUAAAGGCUUCUGGAGCUUAUGUGAAGUGCUUGAAAUGACAUUUCUAGAAAGACAUAAAUCUACAAACUGAAACCAGACAUUUCUUUCUAACACUUCCAUACUCUUAAUACUCUAUUGCAGUUUUGGUGUUGAAAAAUAAGUUUCCACUAAGUAAUAUAAAAAUUGGAAUUAAAGAUUAUGACAACCAGUGUAAUGAUACAAUAACCAUGAAGACGGUAAUAUCCAUAUAAAACUGUACAUUUUUUUUCAAGUCAGGGAUCAUAUCUUAUUUUUUCAAUCGACAUUGUUUGUCACAGGUAUUUUGAGAAGUACUGAUGCGGACGGUGGUUAACAAUUACAGAAUUAAUCAAUGCAAUAAAACCUCAUUAGUUCAAACUAACUGGAGAAAGCUUAAUAUUAGCAAACAUUCUGAAGUCAAGCAUAUAUUUUAAAAAUAAAAUUAAAUUCUACUAAAUCAUUCAUUUAGAAACAUUUAUGAACUAGGCUUUGAUAAAACAGUAAAUAAGAUAUAUUUUCUACUCUCAAUAAGUUGACAAUCUUUUCCAAAUAUGUUUAGUGUUUCGAUAAGAAAUUGCACAACAACCUGUCAGAACUAGGAUGGCUGCUGAUAAAAUUGUAAAUCAAUUUAAAUAGUCAAAGCUUAGUGGUCAUUUUAUCAAAUAUCAUUUGUGGUCUUGAAUUUGGAAGUUAUUUAAGAAAUAUUCAGCAUUUUUCUAGUGUUGCUUAAUGGCUGUAAAUGCAUUUUGUUUACAAAUUUCCUAUUAGAUUUCUUUUCAAUGCGUGUAUGCAGCACAGCACGAAUUAAUCCAAAUUUAGUCUUAUUAAUUGAAAACUUAUGUACCAGCCAUAGUUUUAUCCUGUUAAAUUAUUUUGCAGAUUUAUUAAAUUCCUUUUUGAGCAAUUAUCAUUGGUUAUGAAAUAAACUGAGAGUAUUGCCACCCUAUGUAAUGCACAACAUCCUUAUGAAAGAUUUCUGUCAAAAGAACAUAAACUGAAACUUUUUGUGAAGUUACAUCAUACAAACCCAAAUUGGGGGGUGGUUUACAAAAUAACUGAACUCUGAACUCUUCAAAAAUAUCAAUGUAAUAAAUAACCAAAAAAAAAAAAAAAGAGAGAGAGAAAGAAAAAAGUCAGGAAGCAUGCCAGAUUGAAGGGAAUUAAAAUGACCAUUGAAUGCCAUGCAUAAAUCCAUAUUUUCUUUUGUAAUAAAGGACAUUAUGGAGUCAUUUGAAGACAUGAAUAAAAGCUAUAGAUUAGAAUCAUUCUUCAUUGAGUACAAUCUUGUAGAAUAUAAGCAGCAUCUAGAACAUCUCAACUCGGGAUCUUUGGGAGCAUUUUUUUUUUUCUAUUUUGCUUUAUUUUGUUUUUAAACUAGUUUUACGAUGUAGGUGAAAUUGUAAAAAAAUGUGCAAACAUUAAGAAAUACUUUAGUCAAAGGAUAAGUACAGCUGCCAGCAGUUUUUACUAUUUUUUUUACUAUAUGAAUGUCACACUUAUUUUUAGUGGUAAUAGAAAAAACAAAAUGUAUUGCUUUCUUCAAAAUUUCUGGAGUUCCUGUCAUGGCUCAGCAGUUAACAAUUCUGACUAGCAUCCAUGAGGACACAGGUUCAAUCCCUGGCCUUGCUCAGUGGGUUAAGGAUCCAGUGUUGCCAGGAAUUGUGGUGUAAAUUGCAGAUGUGGCUCAGAUCCUGUGUUGGGGUGGUUGUGGCGUAGACCAGCAGCUACAGCUUCAAUUCGACCCCUAC